AGAGUUUGAUCCUGGCUCAGGACGAACGCUGGCGGCGUGCUUAACACAUGCAAGUCGAACGAGGUCCAUCCGAUCUUCGGAUUGGUGAAGACCUAGUGGCGAACGGGUGCGUAACACGUGAGAAACCUGCCCCGGUCUCUGGAAUAACAGUUGGAAACGGCUGCUAAUACCGGAUGCCGUCGGACCAUCGCAUGGUGGACCGACGAAAGGGUUACCGGACCGGGAGGGUCUCGCGGCCUAUCAGCUUGUUGGUGAGGUAACGGCUCACCAAGGCAUCGACGGGUAGCUGGUCUGAGAGGAUGAUCAGCCACACUGGGACUGAGACACGGCCCAGACUCCUACGGGAGGCAGCAGUAGGGAAUAUUGCACAAUGGGCGAAAGCCUGAUGCAGCAACGCCGCGUGCGGGAAGAAGGCCCUAGGGUUGUAAACCGCUUUCAGCAGGGAAGAAAAUGACGGUACCUGCAGAAGAAGGUGCGGCCAACUACGUGCCAGCAGCCGCGGUGACACGUAGGCACCAAGCGUUGUCCGGAUUUAUUGGGCGUAAAGAGCUCGUAGGCGGUUCAGUAAGUCGGGUGUGAAAACUCUGGGCUCAACCCAGAGACGCCACUCGAUACUGCUGUGACUCGAGUGCGGUAGGGGAGCGGGGAAUUCCUAGUGUAGCGGUGAAAUGCGCAGAUAUUAGGAGGAACACCAGUGGCGAAGGCGCCGCUCUGGGCCGUAACUGACGCUGAGGAGCGAAAGCGUGGGUAGCAAACAGGAUUAGAUACCCUGGUAGUCCACGCCGUAAACGUUGGGCACUAGGUGUGGGUCUCAACCAACGAGAUCCGCGCCGUCGCUAACGCAUUAAGUGCCCCGCCUGGGGAGUACGGCCGCAAGGCUAAAACUCAAAGGAAUUGACGG
rnacentral:rRNA from 1 species